rnacentral:rRNA from 1 species
ACGCCCUAAACGAUGUCAACUGGCUGUUGGGAGCGCAAGUUCUUGUGGCGAAGCUAACGCGUGAAGUGACCGCUGGGGAGUACGGCCGCAAGUUUGAAACUCAAAGGAAUGGACGGGGACCCGCACAAGCGGUGGAUGAUGUGGAUUAAUUCGAUGCAACGCGAAGAACCUUACCUGGUCUUGACAUGUCAGGAAUCCUGCAGAGAUGCGGGAGUGCCUUCGGGAACCUGAACACAGGUGCUGCAUGGCUGUCGUCAGCUCGUGUCGUGAGAUGUUGGGUUAAGUCCCGCAACGAGCGCAACCCUUGUCACUAGUUGCUACGAAAGGGCACUCUAGUGAGACUGCCGGUGACAAACCGGAGGAAGGUGGGGAUGACGUCAAGUCCUCAUGGCCCUUAUGACCAGGGCCUCACACGUCAUACAAUGGUCGGUACAGAGGGUAGCCAACCCGCGAGGGGGAGCCAAUCCCAGAAAGCCGAUCGUAGUCCGGAUUGCAGUCUGCAACUCGACUGCAUGAAGUCGGAAUCGCUAGUAAUCGCAGGUCAGCAUACUGCGGUGAAUACGUUCCCGGGUCUUGUACACACCGCCCGUCACACCAUGGGAGUGGGUUGCUCCAGAAGUAGUUAGCCUAACCGCAAGGAGGGCGAUUACCACGGAGUGGUUCAUGACUGGGGUGAAG